rnacentral:rRNA from 1 species
UACGGGGGGGCAAGCGUUGUUCGGAAUUACUGGGCGUAAAGGGCUCGUAGGCGGCCAACUAAGUCAUACGUGAAAUCCCUCGGCUUAACCGGGGAACUGCGUCUGAUACUGGAUGGCUUGAGUUCGGGAGAGGGAUGCGGAAUUCCAGGUGUAGCGGUGAAAUGCGUAGAUAUCUGGAGGAACACCGGUGGCGAAGGCGGCAUCCUGGACCGAUACUGACGCUGAGGAGCGAAAGCCAGGGGGAGCAAAACGGG